AGAGUUUGAUCCUGGCUCAGGAUGAACGCUAGCUACAGGCUUAACACAUGCAAGUCGAGGGGAAACGAUAUUGGAAGCUUGCUUCCGAUAGGCGUCGACCGGCGCACGGGUGAGUAACGCGUAUCCAACCUGCCCAUCACUUGGGGAUAACCUUGCGAAAGUAAGACUAAUACCCAAUGACGUCUCUAGAAGACAUCUGAAGGAGAUUAAAGAUUUAUCGGUGAUGGAUGGGGAUGCGUCUGAUUAGCUUGUUGGCGGGGUAACGGCCCACCAAGGCGACGAUCAGUAGGGGUUCUGAGAGGAAGGUCCCCCACAUUGGAACUGAGACACGGUCCAAACUCCUACGGGAGGCAGCAGUGAGGAAUAUUGGUCAAUGGACGAGAGUCUGAACCAGCCAAGUAGCGUGCAGGAUGACGGCCCUAUGGGUUGUAAACUGCUUUUAUAAGGGAAUAAAGUGAGAGUCGUGACUCUUUUUGCAUGUACCUUAUGAAUAAGGACCGGCUAAUUCCGUGCCAGCAGCCGCGGUAAUACGGAAGGUCCGGGCGUUAUCCGGAUUUAUUGGGUUUAAAGGGAGCGUAGGCCGGAGAUUAAGCGUGUUGUGAAAUGUAGAUGCUCAACAUCUGAACUGCAGCGCGAACUGGUUUCCUUGAGUACGCACAAAGUGGGCGGAAUUCGUGGUGUAGCGGUGAAAUGCUUAGAUAUCACGAAGAACUCCGAUUGCGAAGGCAGCUCACUGGAGCGCAACUGACGCUGAAGCUCGAAAGUGCGGGUAUCGAACAGGAUUAGAUACCCUGGUAGUCCGCACGGUAAACGAUGGAUGCCCGCUGUUGGUCUGAAUAGGUCAGCGGCCAAGCGAAAGCAUUAAGCAUCCCACCUGGGGAGUACGCCGGCAAC
rnacentral:rRNA from 1 species